UGGGGAAUAUUGCACAAUGGAGGGAACUCUGAUGCAGCGACGCCGCGUGAACGAAGAAGGCUUUCGAGUCGUAAAGUUCUUUUAUAUGGGAAGAUAAUGACGGUACCAUAAGAAAAAGCCCCGGCUAACUACGUGCCAGCAGCCGCGGUAAUACGUAGGGGGCUAGCGUUGUCCGGAAUCACUGGGCGUAAAGGGUUCGCAGGCGGAAAUGCAAGUCAGGUGUAAAAGGCAGUAGCUUAACUACUGUAAGCAUUUGAAACUGCAUAUCUUGAGAAGAGUAGAGGUAAGUGGAAUUUUUAGUGUACCGGUGAAAUGCGUAGAUAUUAAAAAGAAUACCGGUGGCGAAGGCGACUUACUGGGCUCAUUCUGACGCUGAGGAACGAAAGCGUGGGUAGCAAACAGG
rnacentral:rRNA from 1 species